rnacentral:pre_miRNA from 1 species
AUGCUGGGAGACGUCAUCACGUGCUACCUCCGGUGAUGUCAGCACCCAGCACCA